GGAUCGAUGAUGACUCCCUCAAAAAAAAAACCAAACCAACAUUCCUUGGAAAAGCUGAACAAAAUGAGUGAGAACUACACCCGUCGUCGUUCUCAUCGGUAACUGAGGUCC
rnacentral:snoRNA from 1 species